GAUGAACGCUAGCGGCAGGCUUAAUACAUGCAAGUCGAACGGCAGCGGGUCCAGCAAUGGAUGCCGGCGAGUGGCGCACGGGUGCGUAACACGUAUGCAACCUACCUUUAACCGGGACAUAACCUCGAGAAAUCGUGGCUAAUAUUCCAUAAUAUCUUUGAAUCGCAUGGUUUGAAGAUCAACAUUCCGAUGGUUUUAGAUGGGCAUUCGCGACAUUAGCUAGUUGGUGAGGUAAUGGCUCACCAAGGAUACGAUGUUUAGGGGGUCUGGGAGGAUGAUCCCCCACACUGGUACUGAGACACGGACCAGACUCCUACGGGAGGCAGCAGUAAGGAAUAUUGGGCAAUGGGCGCAAGCCUGACCCAGCCAUGCCGCGUGCAGGAUGACAGCCCUACGGGUUGUAAACUGCUUUUAUACGGGAAAAAACCCUCUGACGUGUCAGAGGCUGAUGGUACCGUAAGAAUAAGCAUCGGCUAACUCCGUGCCAGCCGCCGCGGUAAGAC
rnacentral:rRNA from 1 species